AUAGAGACUCAGAGCUGCAUAUCAAUAAGCGGAGGAAAAGAAACUAACUAAGGAUUCCCUCAGUAACGGCGAGUGAAGCGGGAAGAGCUCAAAUUUGAAAUCUUCAAGGUUUUACCUUGACGAAUUGUAGUUUAAAGAAGUGCUUUCUGUUAGUGGAGUUGGUAAAAGUUCUUUGGAAUAGGACAUCAUAGAGGGUGAGAAUCCCGUAUUUGACCAUUAUUUCCAGCUGUGUGAUACACUUUCAAAGAGUCGGAUUGUUUGGGAAUGCAGUCCAAAAUGGGUGGUAAAUUUCAUCUAAAGCUAAAUACUGGCGAGAGACCGAUAGCGAACAAGUACCGUGAGGGAAAGAUGAAAAGAACUUUGAAAAGAGAGUUAAACAGUACGUGAAAUUGUCAAAAGGGAAGCGUUUGACACCAGUGUUGUUUUCUCGAAAAUCAAUUAAGAAGAUUGAUUUUGUUUUAAGUAUUGACUUUAUCAGGCUUCUGCCUCUUUCUUAGUAACUUUCUUAAUGCACUUUUCGGUUAACAAGUCAACAUCAAUUUCCUUUUGUUGUAAAAGAGUCAUUGGAAGGUGGCUUUCAUUUCGGAGAAAGUGUUUAUAGCCUUUGACUUCUGCAAUCGGAGAGAUUGAGGUCUGCAGCGUAGAUCCUUCGGGGUUAGAUACAUUUGUGCUAAGUUAUAGCCUUUUCAUAGACAACAUUGUUGACUAUGAUCAGUCAUGUAGCUUACUCGCUUAUGCUAUUUUACCUACGCUUAGGAUGUUGAUAGUCACAGCGUGUAC
rnacentral:rRNA from 1 species